rnacentral:rRNA from 1 species
GACGAAGGUGGCGAGCGUUGUUCGGAAUCACUGGGCAUAAAGCGCACGUAGGCGGCUAAGUAAGUCGGAUGUGAAAUACCUCGGCUCAACCGAGGAACUGCGUCCGAUACUGCUUGGCUUGAGGUCCGGAGGGGAGAGUGGAAUUCCCGGUGGAGCGGUGAAAUGCGCAGAUAUCAGGAGGAACACCGGUGGCGAAGGCGGAUCUCUGGGCCUUACCUGACGCUGAGGCGCGAAAGCUAGGGGAGCGAACAGG